GUUUUUUAGAAAAUUUAGUGAGAGAAAGAGAAGUCUAGAGAGAGAGAAAGAAAAGUAAAAGCAAGAGGACUUCUCAAAGAUUGCUAAAGCCUUUUUUUCUUCUUUCAAAGGACAAAUCAAACUACAAUUAUGCCAACCUUUGACUUCAGGUGUAAAAUGGACCUUUAAUUUUCUUGUAAGAGAUUUGACGUGACCUUAGGAGGGCUUUCCAGUUACCUGGGAAGCAACCAUCAGAUUUCGCGUCAAUCUGGUGACAAGGUCUGAAAGAAGCUUGGACUAAGGAAACGGAGUCUAGAUUCGAUAACAAGACCCAUUCCCAUAAAGCCCAAAGAUCUAGUUCGUGCAAGCUUAAAUAAGGUAAGAUGGAUCAUUGAUUCCAUCAAGACUGGAAAUCCUUAUGGGCUGCUAAGACAACUGACCCAAGGAAGCAUCAAUGGCAAUGAGUUGGGGGCUUUUGGAUUGAUCAUAGAGGAUGAAGAUGGUGUGUCCAAGACUGCGCACAGAGGGGAGGUACCUGAAGGGGGGCAACCUGCGUCACCUGACCCGCCAUUUGGCCUGUUAGGCCCAACCCACGGCCUAACAAGCCACGCACCCAAGAAGAAUGUGUAGCCCAUGCCGCACUCCCCUGCAGGUGGGCUGAUCGAGGCCCAUCGAGAAGACCUGAAGGCCGACCCUCAUCCCGAGGCCCGAUUUAGUGGACCUGCACCUAAAGGAGAAGAAAUUGGGCCAUAAGCUCGGCCCAACAGUCCGACCCAACAAUAGUUGUGGGCCUAGCCGAGGUGAGACCCGGGUAGGCUGCGGAGCCAUGAGGUCCAAAGGCCGCACACAUGGGGGCCCGACCCAAAGCUACACGUGCACAUGUGGGCUUCCGUAACCUACACGGGUGAGGUGUGUGAUGUCUGUGAGAGAGGGGAAGAAGUGGUAAGUUUUUGGACUUCUUUUCUCUACCUGCUUUAUGUGAUUUUUCAGCCCAAAUUCACAAAACCCACAUGGUAAUUAUCACCUCAUUAUUUAAUUAUUAUUA